AGUGAACGCUGGCGGUAGGCCUAACACAUGCAAGUCGAACGGCAGCACAGUAAGAGCUUGCCCUUACGGGUGGCGAGUGGCGGACGGGUGAGGAAUACAUCGGAAUCUACUUUUUCGUGGGGGAUAACGUAGGGAAGCUUACGCUAAUACCGCAUACGACCUACGGGUGAAAGCAGGGGAUCUUCGGACCUUGCGCGAUUGAAUGAGCCGAUGUCGGAUUAGCUAGUUGGCGGGGUAAAGGCCCACCAAGGCGACGAUCCGUAGCUGGUCUGAGAGGAUGAUCAGCCACACUGGAACUGAGACACGGUCCAGACUCCUACGGGAGGCAGCAGUGGGGAAUAUUGGACAAUGGGCGCAAGCCUGAUCCAGCCAUACCGCGUGGGUGAAGAAGGCCUUCGGGUUGUAAAGCCCUUUUGUUGGGAAAGAAAAGCAGCAGGUUAAUACCCCGCUGUUCUGACGGUACCCAAAGAAUAAGCACCGGCUAACUUCGUG
rnacentral:rRNA from 1 species